GUUGAUUUGGAAGCCGCAUCAUCGAAAACAACUUGGUAGCACGGAGGCCUCCGUGCUAGGCCUCCGUGUUACCGAUAGUAUACCAGCCUAGCUCUCUCUCUCUCUCUAUAUAUAUAUUUACAUAUAGAAUUAGGCUGGAAUACUAUUAAUAGUAAAACAUUUUUUUUGCUAUCAAAUUUUUAACUCUUGGAUGAAAAAUUACAAGGUUAGGAUGAUAUUAGUCGGUUAGAGUUGAGCGGCCCCCCUAGGGUUGAGCGGUCCCCACUGGGUUAUAGUAUUUAAUCCAAUGGUUAGAAAUAACGAAAAGAGUUGAUCCAAAGGCUAAAAAACUGGUAGCAAUAAUAAAAUUUUGCUACUAAUAGUAGUCCAGUCCAACUCUUAGCAUCUCUACUUUUCCUAAUAUCAUUCAAAUAUAGAAUUAAAAAUAUAAAUUUAUAUUGAUUGUCUUUAGAGCAAAUGGUAAAAGGCUUGUUGGUUAGUACUAGAGGUCCCAAGUUCAAAUCUUAGUUGACUAGUUGAUUCACAUAUUUAGCUAAAUUUAUUUUUAAAUAAAAUAAACAAAGCGGGUAGGGUGCUACCCAUCUUUAAAAAAAAAAAGUGAAUUUACAUUU
rnacentral:lncRNA from 1 species